UACGGGGGGGCAAGCGUUGUUCGGAAUUACUGGGCGUAAAGGGCUCGUAGGCGGCCAACUAAGUCGGAUGUGAAAUCCCCAGGCUUAACCUGGGAACUGCAUCCGAUACUGGAUGGCUUGAAUCCGGGAGAGGGAUGCAGAAGUUCCAGGUGUAGCGGUGAAAUGCGUAGAUAUCGGGAGGAACACCAGUGGCGAAGGCGACUACCUGGCCUGUUCUUGACUGCUGAG
rnacentral:rRNA from 1 species